CCUUAUUGUCAUUGUACAGCUGCACAAAAAAUUAAGGCUCUCAUUUAAAAGGUGCAAACUUACAAUGUGAGGUCAAAACUGCCACCAAAUUUUAGAGUUUCCAUCUUCUUUCCAGUCUCUGGCUUGAGGUGCAUCUGAGAAACAGUUUCAUACAUGGAUUAAGAGAGGACAUUGCAAGAAAAGUCAAGUGAACAUGCAUUACCUGGGACAUUGGAAAAUUAUUUCUGAUUGAACAGCAUGCCAUCCAUGCAGAAAAGCUGCUAAAUUCUGAAAUAUGAAAAGGUUGUCUGAGGCUCAAGGAGAUCCUGUGGGAAAAUUUUAAUAAAUAAAUGCAAAAUUA